UAGGAGAUGUGAUGCAAUCUAGUUAAUCCAGUAAGUUAUGUAUGAUUGUGACAUUCACAAUGGCCCAGAAAUCAUCAAAUACACAUACAGCUGGGUAGAUGAUGUCCUAGGAAUGCUCAACAUAGAUUCUGGAUCUUUUGAAAUAAACAGUGUACUAUAUAUAAUAAAUGAC